CACAAGUUUGCUAAUAAGACAAGGUUCUUGUAUAUGGAAGUACAUUAACAAACACAAGUUUACUAAUAAGACAAGGUUCUUGUAUAUGGAAGUACAUUAACAAACACAAGUUUACUAAUAAGACAAGGUUCUCGUAUAUGGAAGCACAUAAACAAACAAGUUUACUAAUAAGACAAGGUUCUUGUAUAUGGAAGUACAUUAACAAACACAAGUUUACUAGUAAGACAAGGUUCUCGUAUAUGGAAGCACAUAAAUAAACACAAGUUUAAUAAUAAGACAAGGUUCUCGUAUAUGGAAGCACAUUAACAAACACAAGUUUAAUAAUAAGACAAGGUUCUUGUAUGUGGAAGCACAUAAACAAACACAAGUUUACUAAUAACAAAGUUCUUGUAUAUGGAAGCACAUAAAUAAACACAAGUUUACUAAUAAGAAAAGGUUCUUGUAUAUGGAAGCACAUAAACAAACAAGUUUACUAAUAAGACAAGGUCCUUCUAUAUGAAAGAACAU